AAGGGGAGAUGGAUACAUUGGAAGGGUCGACCGAAGAAUGGUGCGCCUCGGGUCCUAGCGCACCCAAGAAGACGACGAUGGUGAGGGCGCUUUGGGGGUGCUGGCGUCGCGUGCGUGGACGUAGGAGACUACAUUGUCAAGGAGGUAUUUGAUCCGCGUUGCCGAAGAGGAAGAAGACAGAGUGGAGGGGCUACUCCGAGCACGAGCUCGAGCUCGACCGCAGCAUGGCAGGCAUGGUGUUGGCGCGGGGCAUGGAGACUUACCUUUGCGGCGACGAGGGCACGUAAGGAGAUUAACCGGACAAGGG
rnacentral:lncRNA from 1 species